UACGGAAGGCAGCAGGGGGGAAUAUUGCACAAUGGGCGCAAGCCUGAUGCAGCCAUGCCGCGUGUAUGAAGAAGGCCUUCGGGUUGUAAAGUACUUUCAGUCGUGAGGAAGGUGUUAAGGUUAAUAACCUUAGCAAUUGACGUUAGCGACAGAAGAAGCACCGGCUAACUCCGUGCCAGCAGCCGCGGUAAUACGGAGGGUGCGAGCGUUAAUCGGAAUUACUGGGCGUAAAGGGCACGCAGGCGGUUAAUUAAGUUGGAUGUGAAAUCCCCGGGCUUAACCUGGGAAUGGCAUUCAAGACUGGUUAGCUAGAGUCUUGUAGAGGGGGUAGAAUUCCAUGUGUAGCGGUGAAAUGCGUAGAGAUGUGGAGGAAUACCGGUGGCGAAGGCGGCCCCUGGGACAAAGACUGACGCUCAUGUGCGAAAGCGUGGGGAGCAAACAGGGAUUAGAUACC
rnacentral:rRNA from 1 species